UGUUAUGUGGGGGGGAGGGGCGGGGGUGAUAAGGGGGGGGAAAGGGUAAAUCGGAUGUGCUGGGCGGAGAGCGAGGGUAGGUGGCGAAUUAAGUCAAAUGUUAAAUCCGCGAGCUUAACGUGGGAAUUGGAUUCGGUACUGGUUAGCUAGAGUAUGGGAGAGGAUGGUAGAAUUCCAGGUGUAGCGGUGAAAUGCGUAGAGAUCUGGAGGAAUACCGAUGGCGAAGGCAGCCAUCUGGCCUAAUACUGACACUGAGGUGCGAAAGCAUGGGGAGCAAACAGGAUUAGAUACCCCAGUAGUC
rnacentral:rRNA from 1 species